rnacentral:rRNA from 1 species
UGUUUCGGCAAGGGGGUCAUCCCGACUUACCAACCCGAUGCAAACUGCGAAUACCGGAGAAUGUUAUCACGGGAGACACACGGCGGGUGCUAACGUCCGUCGUGAAGAGGGAAACAACCCAGACCGCCAGCUAAGGUCCCAAAGUCAUGGUUAAGUGGGAAACGAUGUGGGAAGGCCCAGACAGCCAGGAUGUUGGCUUAGAAGCAGCCAUCAUUUAAAGAAAGCGUAAUAGCUCACUGGUCGAGUCGGCCUGCGCGGAAGAUGUAACGGGGCUAAACCAUGCACCGAAGCUGCGGCAGCGACGCUGAUGCGUUGUUGGGUAGGGGAGCGUUCUGUAAGCCUGCGAAGGUGUGCUGUGAGGCAUGCUGGAGGUAUCAGAAGUGCGAAUGCUGACAUAAGUAACGAUAAAGCGGGUGAAAAGCCCGCUCGCCGGAAGACCAAGGGUUCCUGUCCAACGUUAAUCGGGGCAGGGUGAGUCGACCCCUAAGGCGAGGCCGAAAGGCGUAGUCGAUGGGAAACAGGUUAAUAUUCCUGUACUUGGUGUUACUGCGAAGGGGGGACGGAGAAGGCUAUGUUGGCCGGGCGACGGUUGUCCCGGUUUAAGCGUGUAGGCUGGUUUUCCAGGCAAAUCCGGAAAAUCAAGGCUGAGGCGUGAUGACGAGGCACUACGGUGCUGAAGCAACAAAUGCCCUGCUUCCAGGAAAAGCCUCUAAGCAUCAGGUAACAUCAAAUCGUACCCCAAACCGACACAGGUGGUCAGGUAGAGAAUACCAAGGCGCUUGAGAGAACUCGGGUGAAGGAACUAGGCAAAAUGGUGCCGUAACUUCGGGAGAAGGCACGCUGAUAUGUAGGUGAGGUCCCUCGCGGAUGGAGCUGAAAUCAGUCGAAGAUACCAGCUGGCUGCAACUGUUUAUUAAAAACACAGCACUGUGCAAACACGAAAGUGGACGUAUACGGUGUGACGCCUGCCCGGUGCCGGAAGGUUAAUUGAUGGGGUCAGCGCAAGCGAAGCUCUUGAUCGAAGCCCCGGUAAACGGCGGCCGUAACUAUAACGGUCCUAAGGUAGCGAAAUUCCUUGUCGGGUAAGUUCCGACCUGCACGAAUGGCGUAAUGAUGGCCAGGCUGUCUCCACCCGAGACUCAGUGAAAUUGAACUCGCUGUGAAGAUGCAGUGUACCCGCGGCAAGACGGAAAGACCCCGUGAACCUUUACUAUAGCUUGACACUGAACAUUGAGCCUUGAUGUGUAGGAUAGGUGGGAGGCUUUGAAGUGUGGACGCCAGUCUGCAUGGAGCCGACCUUGAAAUACCACCCUUUAAUGUUU